CCCCACUGCUAUCGGGAUGGGACUAAGACAUGCUAGUCGAGCGUCUCUAAGCUAUGGAAGAGACGCGGCACACAGCUCAGUAACACGUGGCUAACCUGCCCUUGGGACAAGGACAACUCCGGGAGACUGGGGCUAAUCCCUGAUAAGUGAGAACUCCUGGAAUGGAUUCUCGCUGAAAGGACGUUUAGACCAUGCUUCUAGGCGUCGCCCAAGGAGGGGGCCGCGACCGAUCAGGUUGUUGGUGAGGUAACGGCUCACCAAGCCUUUAACCGGUACGGGCCGUGAGAGCGGAAGCCCGGAGAUGGGCACUGAGACAAGGGCCCAGGCCCUACGGGGCGCAGCAGUCGCGAAAACUCCGCAAUACACGAAAGUGUGACGGGGCCAUCCCGAGUGCCAUCCGCUGAGGAUGGCUUUUCCCCAGUGUAUAAAGCUGGGGGAAUAAGGAGAGGGCAAGCCUGGUGUCAGCCGCCGCGGUAAUACCAGCUCUCCGAGUGGUGGGGAUGUUUAUUGGGCCUAAAGCAUUCGUAGCCUGCUUGGCAAGUCCUCCGUUAAAUCCAACGAUUCAAUCGUUGGGCUGCGGGGGAUACUGUCCAGCUAGGGGGCGGGAGAGGCCGACGGUAUCCCCGGGGUAGGGGUGAAAUCCUAUAAUCCCGGGAGGACCACCAGUGGCGAAGGCUGUCGGCUAGAACGCGCUCGACGGUGAGGGAUGAAAGCUGGGGGAGCGAACCGGAUUAGAUACCCGGGUAGUCCCAGCUGUAAACGAUGCAGGCUAGGUGUUGGCGCGGCUACGUGCCGCUCCAGUGCCGCAGGGAAGCCGUUAAGCCUGCCGCCUGGGAAGUACGGCCGCAAGGCUGAAACUUAAAGGAAUUGGCGGGGAGCACCACAAGGUGUGAAGCUUGCGGUUUAAUUGGAGUCAACGCCGGA
rnacentral:rRNA from 1 species